GGGAUGAAGACGCAGGAGAGGAUAUCCAAGACAACAACGGGACCAAUAUGGCGACUGCAUCUACAAUGGGACGUCCACUGGCUUCCAGACCUUUGAAUUAUCGGAAAGAACCUGAGCCACGGAGAAGACGUGUUCGCUGCUUUUUCAAAGGGAUGACUGCCAUCAUAGCAAGCUGGCACCACCAAACCAACCCAAGUCAUCAGUACCAUCGGGCUAGCACGGAGCAAAUAGGGGAGACUGGGGCUUGUUGUCGCACGGGCUCAGGUCUUCAUGGAGAAACGGUCCAAGGAGAAGCCUAAGAUGGGGGCUUGUGUCUGGACCUCAGAGCCACCGGACCCUGAUCUUCUCCACUUGGGACAGCAAGCCUGACAGGAGCUUGGGAGGCAGGUUAAACACACACACACACACACACAA
rnacentral:lncRNA from 1 species